UGGGGAAUAUUGCACAAUGGGCGCAAGCCUGAUGCAGCCAUGCCGCGUGUAUGAAGAAGGCCUUCGGGUUGUAAAGUACUUUCAGUCGGGAGGAAGGUGUCAAGGUUAAUAACCUUGGCAAUUGACGUUACCGACAGAAGAAGCACCGGCUAACUCCGUGCCAGCAGCCGCGGUAAUACGGAGGGUGCAAGCGUUAAUCGGAAUUACUGGGCGUAAAGCGCACGCAGGCGGUUGAUUGAGUCAGAUGUGAAAUCCCCGGGCUUAACCCGGGAAUUGCAUCUGAUACUGGUCAGCUAGAGUCUUGUAGAGGGGGGUAGAAUUCCAUGUGUAGCGGUGAAAUGCGUAGAGAUGUGGAGGAAUACCGGUGGCGAAGGCGGCCCCCUGGACAAAGACUGACGCUCAGGUGCUAAAGCGUGGGGAGCAAACAGG
rnacentral:rRNA from 1 species